rnacentral:rRNA from 1 species
AACGCGAAGAACCUUACCUGGGCUUGAACUACUCGUGGUAGUUCGCUGGAAACAGUGGAUGACCCGCAAGGGAGCGAGCAGAGGUGCUGCAUGGUUGUCGUCAGCUCGUGUCGUGAGAUGUUGGGUUAAGUCCCGCAACGAGCGCAACCCCUAUUCGAUGUUGCUAAUCCCGCAAGGGAUGCACUCUUCGAAAACUGCCUUCGAUAAGAAGGAGGAAGGUGGGGACGACGUCAAAUCCUCAUGGCCCUUAUGUCCAGGGCUACACACGUGCUACAAUGGCCGGUACAACGGGAAGCAAUACCGCAAGGUGGAGCCAAACCCUGAAAGCCGGCCUCAGUUCAGAUCGUGGGCUGCAACUCGCCCACGUGAAGGCGGAAUCGCUAGUAAUCGCGAAUCAGCAGGUCGCGGUGAAUACGUUCCCGGGCCUUGUACACACCGAGACGAC